GAUCAUGGCUCAGGACGAACGCUGGCGGCGUGCCUAACACAUGCAAGUCGAGCGGAGACAGUGAGUAGCUUGCUAUGAACUGUUUUAGCGGCGGACGGGUGAGUAACGCGUGAGCAACCUUUCCCAGACAGGGGAAUAACACACCGAAAGGUGUACUAAUACCACAUAAGACCACGGGAUCACAUGGUUCUGGGGUAAAAGAUUUAUCGGUUUGGGGUGGGCUCGCGUCCGAUUAGGUAGUUGGUGAGGUAACGG
rnacentral:rRNA from 1 species